rnacentral:rRNA from 1 species
CCUACGGGUGGCAGCAGUGGGGAAUAUUGGACAAUGGGGGGAACCCUGAUCCAGCCAUGCCGCGUGUGUGAAGAAGGCCCUCGGGUUGUAAAGCACUUUCAGUGAGGAAGAACGCCUGGUGGUUAAUACCCAUCAGGAAAGACAUCACUCACAGAAGAAGCACCGGCUAACUCCGUGCCAGCAGCCGCGGUAAUACGGAGGGUGCGAGCGUCAAUCGGAAUUACUGGGCGUAAAGCGCGCGUAGGUGGCUUGAUAAGCCGGUUGUGAAAGCCCCGGGCUCAACCUGGGAACGGCAUCCGGAACUGUCAAGCUAGAGUGCAGGAGAGGAAGGUAGAAUUCCCGGUGUAGCGGUGAAAUGCGUAGAGAUCGGGAGGAAUACCAGUGGCGAAGGCGGCCUUCUGGACUGACACUGACACUGAGGUGCGAAAGCGUGGGUAGCAAACAGGAUUAGAUACCCCUGUAGUC